rnacentral:lncRNA from 1 species
CUCUACUUCGAAGCGGUUGAUCUUCCUCGUAGCCUCGAUCAGCUCCAUAUUCAUCUCAGCAACUCGACGAAGGGCGUAGGCUUUAUCAAAUUAGAUAGUGAAAGCUUUGCCCCUCAUUGCCCAAAGCUCCUCUCUGAGGUUCACAAUCUCACGUUAGAGGUCGGCCUCUUUAUGGACAGCUCUUCAAAGGUGAUCAUCUUCCUUAUCUGCAUUGACCUA